AGUGAACGCUGGCGGUAGGCCUAACACAUGCAAGUCGAACGGCAGCACAGUAAGAGCUUGCCCUUACGGGUGGCGAGUGGCGGACGGGUGAGGAAUACAUCGGAAUCUACUUUUUCGUGGGGGAUAACGUAGGGAAACUUACGCUAAUACCGCAUACGACCUACGGGUGAAAGCAGGGGAUCUUCGGACCUUGCGCGAUUGAAUGAGCCGAUGUCGGAUUAGCUAGUUGGCGGGGUAAAGGCCCACCAAGGCGACGAUCCGUAGCUGGUCUGAGAGGAUGAUCAGCCACACUGGAACUGAGACACGGUCCAGACUCCUACGGGAGGCAGCAGUGGGGAAUAUUGGACACUGGGCGGAAGCCUGCUCCAGCCAUACCGCGUGGGUGAAGAAGGCCUUCGGGUUGUAAAGCCCUUUUGUUGGGAAAGAAAAGCAGCAGGUUAAUACCCCGCUGUUCUGACGGUACCCAAAGAAUAAGCACCGGCUAACUUCGUG
rnacentral:rRNA from 1 species